AUCCUUUUCCGGUUCAUAAGCAUGAUGAUUGGGUUUUCACACACCUGUGUGAUAUGUGCCUCCCUUCAUAUGUGUUACAACAUCUGCACAUGACACUUCUGACA